rnacentral:misc_RNA from 1 species
GGUUCCGGCAGAGUCACCUUCAAUGAGUUUUAUUUUUAUCGUGACCUUCCCAAACAUAUACUUGCUCUUCGAUGAAAACCCAGCACCAGAUGAGUUGUCAAGUCUAAGCUUAAGAAGCUCUCCUUCAUAGAUGAAAUGAUCGAAAGCCCAAGAUGGUUGGAAAAGCUCGUGAAAAUUUAUGGAUUGGAUGGAACCCACCAUCAAGAAACCCAGGAAAAAG